CUCUGUUACAGUAGCUAUCAAAAGGUGGUUCCCCAGGUUUUAUCAGCGCUCGCGUCCAGUGUGUCACAGCUGACGUCGACUGACACUCGGUGGAAGUCCCUCUCCUUCCCUCGCGCUUUUUGUUCUCCGGUUUUGCUUCAUUCGAGAGGGUUCGUCUUAUUUUCAUCACCUCGAGCUUCACGCGGGAGCCGUUUGUCUAUAUCAAUGUGCAUUAAUGUAGGAGACACCGUGGAAGAGAUAAGGUGAGAUAACCUUGUUGAUAACAAAGAGCACUACGUGAAGGUCUGCGUUUGAUUGUGACAUUGGCGGACUUGUUACUACCACGCGCUUUGUAAACUCGACUUCUGUAUAGUCUGUGUGUUUAACUGCAUUGACGGCGGUUGAUAAAUGUCGAUAGAAGAGCUCUUAUCUCCUCACCUGGCACCUUUGUUUUGGAUUUGCCAAGGAUUUCCUAAAGCGACAGUGGGUAUACUCGACUGAAGGAUUUCGGGUUUUAAUCUGAAUCGGGAUCUAUACAUCCAAACUGGGAUCUAUGAGCGGAAAAGUGGCUAAGCCUAAAGAAGAAAAGGAUGCUUCAAAGGUCCAGGAUGAUGCUGCCCCAGAUACCCAGGAGUACAUUAUGUUGCGGCAGGAUUCCAUCCAUUCUGCGGAUAUAAGGGGUAAAGGCUCCCCUUUUCGUGCUAAGUGUCAUGAAAUCUUCUGCUGCCCACUGAAGCAAGUCUCCCACAAAGAAAGCUCAGAGC